rnacentral:rRNA from 1 species
UGGGGAAUAUUGGACAAUGGGCGAAAGCCUGGUCCAGCCAUGCCGCGUGUGUGAAGAAGGUCUUCGGAUUGUAAAGCACUUUAAGUUGGGAGGAAGGGCAGUAAGCGAAUACCUUGCUGUUUUGACGUUACCGACAGAAUAAGCACCGGCUAACUCUGUGCCAGCAGCCGCGGUAAUACAGAGGGUGCAAGCGUUAAUCGGAAUUACUGGGCGUAAAGCGCGCGUAGGUGGUUCGUUAAGUUGAAUGUGAAAGCCCCGGGCUCAACCUGGGAACUGCAUCCAAAACUGGCGAGCUAGAGUAGGGCAGAGGGUGGUGGAAUUUCCUGUGUAGCGGUGAAAUGCGUAGAUAUAGGAAGGAACACCAGUGGCGAAGGCGACCACCUGGGCUCAUACUGACACUGAGGUGCGAAAGCGUGGGGAGCAAACAGG